AGAGUUUGAUCAUGGCUCAGAUUGAACGCUGGCGGCACGCCUAACACAUGCAAGUCGAGCGGUAACAUGAGUAGUAGCAAUACUACUUGAUGACGAGCGGCGGACGGGUGAGUAACACGUAGGAACCUAUCUUAUAGAGGGGGACAACCAAGGGAAACUUUGGCUAAUACCGCGUAAUCUCGAAAGAGGAAAGCUGCAGCAAUGUGGCGCUAAAAGAGGGGCCUGCGUCCGAUUAGCUAGUUGGUAAGGUAACGGCUUACCAAGGCGAUGAUCGGUAACUGGUCUGAGAGGACGACCAGUCACACUGGGACUGAGACACGGCCCAGACUCCUACGGGAGGCAGCAGUGGGGAAUCUUGGACAAUGGGGGCAACCCUGAUCCAGCGAUGCCGCGUGAGUGAAGAAGGCCUUCGGGUCGUAAAGCUCUUUAGGCUGGGAAGAAGGUUGGUGGAGGAAAUGCCAUUAACUUGACGGUACCAGCAGAAUAAGCACCGGCAAACUCUGUGCCAGCAGCCGCGGUAAUAC
rnacentral:rRNA from 1 species